AAAAUAAUUAGUUAAAGUUAAAAAUUGAAUUAUUAAAAAUUAACGAAGUUAAAAGUUAUUAAUUUUAUUAUUUAACUUUGAUAAUUAUUUAGUACAGACUUUAAUAAAGUCUAUGUAAUAAACGCGCAGCUAGAGAGACUGCAUUAGCCGAGGACGCACGUGCACACCGUCGGUUAAAGUCCAACCGCGCAAGGUCAACGUCCCGUAAGAUAGACGCCACGCUACGCGCCGUCUUGGCCUCCCCACUCCGCCGGCCACUCAUUGUCAGUCAUUCGCGCGCACGUGUACGCUGUCGCGUCGGUUAAAGUCGCGUCACGCAAGGUCAACGUCCCGCGCCGCGUGCUGUCUCGGCCUUCCCAUUCCGCCGGUCAUUCGCCUUACGCGAGGCCUUCGAGGCGCACAUGCACGCCAUUUGGCUCGUCUUCCUACACAGUUCCCACUCUUCUCGUAAAGAUGGGCCGCGACGACUCGGCCGUUCGGUAUUCGUUGCUACCGCUACACAUUGCUGAUGUACGGCGUAUCGGUUCCGUGCUUCUCGUACGUUCCAAGUUUUGAUUAUGCGCGAAUAAUGCCAAUGUGAUAACGGACGGUUACUCCCAUACAGUGUCGUACGUACAAAUGAUCGUAUUCGUUUGUGAAGCGCAAGCAUCGUGUGAUUGUCGUGUGUGGUUUUGUCAAGAUUUCGCGCGCUCGUAUUCGUUCACUCAGAUACUUCAUUCGUGCAGUGGAAUAUCGCGAAUGCCGCGUGUUUCACGUUUUGUCUCUAGUCGUCGUGUUUAGAUACAAAAUCGAGAGUGAGUGUGUUUCGUUUCUACGCAUCGUAUCUACGUGUGCAUUCGGACGAUUCUCAUUGCUGUUUUGUUGAUAUGUGACGUUCAAGCACAUGUAUGCUCUCUCGAAAGUUGAAAGUUAUAUUCGUCACUUGCGAAUGUAGCAACGGACGAUUACACCUCUGGCACACGAGUCGUGUAGUUAUGAUGCGUAGAAACAAUCGCGUUCCAAGUUCCGUUAGCAUCUAUUGCAUCGCAACAAGCUGAAUCUCGCUAAUUCUCGUGCGUGUUUUUUGCAUCUUAUUUACGUUUGAGUGUGUGUGUGUGUGUGUGUGUGUGUGUGUGUGUGUGUGUGUGUGUGUGUGUGUGUCAGGCCGAUAUUACAUUUAUCGUAUGGUUUGAGAAGAGCAGCAAAACGUAAAGAGAAUUUCAGCUGAAAGACGAUAUCGGUGGAGCAAUCCAAGGGGGUGAGUGUAUUAUUUGAAUUAACGUAUCUCUUUAUCUGUUUCCUGCGAUCGUACUUUCACAGUUCAAUAAAAAUAAUAAAAACAAUAAAAAUAAUAAAAAUUUAUAUAUUUACCUUUGAUAAAAUUUAUAAAAUAUAAUAUACAGUAUUUAUAUGUGAAUCAAAAGAGUCAUGAGAGUAUUGUUCGUUUUGUUUCUUCUCGGUCUACUAGGUUCAUCUAGUUCACUUCCUGUUUUACGAUUUGCUUUCAGAGUGCCUCUAUCUCAACUCAAAGAUAGGUCUGCUUGGGUCUGUUCCGAGUAGAUUCAGAACAUACUUGUACUAAACGAACAAUGCUAUAUAAUAUCACAAAUUAACUUGAUUGUUAAUUUAAUAAUAAUGCUACAAGCACCUUAAAAAAUUGUAAAUAGGUAUUGCGAAAAUUCUGUUUAACUGUAAAUAAUUAUUACGCAAAUUCUUUAUAUUUAUGCAAUAAUUCAUUUUUAUUAUAUUAGGUGCGCAACUAAGUUCUCGCUGUUUUUUUUUUUUUUAUGAAAAUGCAACUUUAUUGUGAAAAAAUGAUUACAAAUGAAUCAUUCAAAGUAUUGCCCAUCGCUAGCUACAACUUUUGCCCAUCUUUUUGGCAGAGCUCGAAUACCAUUACGAUAAAAGUGUUCGUCUUUUGAGGCUAUCCACGAAUCAAGCUAUUUUUUGAUGUCUUCAUGUGAGCGGAACUGCUGAUCAGCCAGACCAUGUGCCAUCGAACGGAACAAAAUCAACAGGAAAGGACAUACAGCAGCAGCAGCAGCAGCAGCAGCAGCAGCAGCAGCAGCGAUAACAACUGAGUCAAAGUUCCAGUUUCUCGCCGGGUGUGCGUGGUCAAGGAACAGAGAGAGAGAGAGAGAGAGAGAAAGAAAGAAAGAGGACUGGCUCGUCGUCAUGACGACGUGACGCAACGAUCGCGUCAUCAUCGAGGGAUAGAACGGAUAGAACGAAAGGUCGACGAACCUCCAGCAUUGAAGCAGCAUUCGUUCCGACCAGACGCAGCGACUCUGCUUGACUGGCGGUGGUGGUUGGUUGACUGGACACAGAUGGGGUGAAUGGGGGGAUGCGAUGCGAUGCGAUGCGAUGCGGCACGGUAGCGGCGGAUUUGCCUCUCUCUCUCUCUCUCGCACUCCCUCCUUCUCUCCCUCCAUUGUUCUCGAUACCAUCGAUUUGACUUGAGCUCGAUGUCCUUGCUAUGACGUCGACGAAACGUAUGCAUCAUUCAAUACGUGCAUCAACGACUGCAACAUUAAAUCUUGUUUAAUGUGUUAUUAUUAGAUCCGAGCAAAUUUUUUGAUCGAGUAAAUAAUAAGCAAUUGCAAAUUUAUCUAUUUGGACGAAGAUGUAAAUACAAAGUACAGUGUCAAAGAAAACACACACACACACACAUACACACACACACACACGCACACGCACGCACACACAC